CACAGCAGAAAGUAAUUUUUAAAAUUUUAAAAACAAAUAAGUCAAUAGCUUUGUCAAAUAAAACUAUCGAGCUGGAAUCCAAAUCCUAGAAUCACCUUGCCAAUAUCGAUAAAAUAAAAACAAGCAUACAAAAGAAAUAGAAUUUUUACUUUCACCAAAAAGAAAGAAGUGGCACAUUGGUGUUCUCCAUAAGACUCUAAAGUAGAAGUCCUCCAAUGGUGAUCCACACAGAAGUUAGCCAAAGUUCUUCCUAACUGGUGCGCCACCGUAGCCUUAUCUUCUCAAGAACACUAUCGGCUUCGAACUUAUGGUACGAUCAUGCCAAAGCCCAGUCGCCUCUAAGCUUGCCACCAGGAUCAUGCCAAAAAAAUACUUUUCAGAUG
rnacentral:lncRNA from 1 species